AGCUCCAAUAGCGUAUAUUAAAGUUGCUGCAGUUAAAAAGCUCGUAGUUGGAUUUCUGAUGCGACCUGCCUGGCCCGCCGUGGUUACACGCGUGAGUGCCGGGUGUUGUCCGUCUGUCUUCCUGUGACUUGCUGCCCUCUUCACUGAGUGGUGGACAAGUUGUAGGAUCUUUUACUUUGAACAAAUUAGAGUGUUUCAAGCAGGCUUCUGCCAUGAAUACAUUAGCAUGGAAUAAUCAUUUAGGACUUCGGUUCUAUUUUGUUGGUUUCGAGAGCUGAAGUAAUGAUUGAUAGGGAUAGUUGGGGGUGCUAGUAUUCAGAGGCCAGAGGUGAAAUUCUUGGAUUCUCUGAAGACUAACUUAUGCGAAAGCAUUCACCAAGGAUGUCUUCU
rnacentral:rRNA from 1 species